rnacentral:rRNA from 1 species
UACGUAGGGGGCAAGCGUUGUCCGGAUUCAUUGGGCGUAAAGAGCUCGUAGGCGGUUCGGCAAGUCGGGUGUGAAAACUCCAGGCUCAACCUGGAGACGCCACCCGAUACUGCUGUGACUUGAGUCCGGUAGGGGACCACGGAAUUCCUGGUGUAGCGGUGAAAUGCGCAGAUAUCAGGAGGAACACCGGUGGCGAAGGCGGGUCUCUGGGCCGAUACUGACGCUGAGGAGCGAAAGCGUGGGGAGCGAACAGG